UGUGAGCUCGAUGAGUAGGGCGGGACACGUGGUAUCCUGUCUGAAUAUGGGGGGACCAUCCUCCAAGGCUAAAUACUCCUGACUGACCGAUAGUGAACCAGUACCGUGAGGGAAAGGCGAAAAGAACCCCGGCGAGGGGAGUGAAAAAGAACCUGAAACCGUGUACGUACAAGCAGUGGGAGCCUCUUUUAUGGGGUGACUGCGUACCUUUUGUAUAAUGGGUCAGCGACUUAUAUUCUGUAGCAAGGUUAACCGAAUAGGGGAGCCGAAGGGAAACCGAGUCUUAACUGGGCGUUAAGUUGCAGGGUAUAGACCCGAAACCCGGUGAUCUAGCCAUGGGCAGGUUGAAGGUUGGGUAACACUAACUGGAGGACCGAACCGACUAAUGUUGAAAAAUUAGCGGAUGACUUGUGGCUGGGGGUGAAAGGCCAAUCAAACCGGGAGAUAGCUGGUUCUCCCCGAAAGCUAUUUAGGUAGCGCCUCGUGAACUCAUCUUCGGGGGUAGAGCACUGUUUCGGCUAGGGGGUCAUCCCGACUUACCAACCCGAUGCAAACUGCGAAUACCGAAGAAUGUUAUCACGGGAGACACACGGCGGGUGCUAACGUCCGUCGUGAAGAGGGAAACAACCCAGACCGCCAGCUAAGGUCCCAAAGUCAUGGUUAAGUGGGAAACGAUGUGGGAAGGCUCAGACAGCCAGGAUGUUGGCUUAGAAGCAGCCAUCAUUUAAAGAAAGCGUAAUAGCUCACUGGUCGAGUCGGCCUGCGCGGAAGAUGUAACGGGGCUAAACCAUGCACCGAAGCUGCGGCAGCGGACGUAUCACUUAAGACAACUUAAGCGGCUUAUACGAUUGACGGAGCGAAGCGACGUCAAAGCGUUUUACAAAGUCGAGUUGGCUUAAGGAUACGUUCGUUGGGUAGGGGAGCGUUCUGUAAGCCUGUGAAGGUGUGCUGUGAGGCAUGCUGGAGGUAUCAGAAGUGCGAAUGCU
rnacentral:rRNA from 1 species